rnacentral:lncRNA from 1 species
UAAUAUCUUCCAAUUUAAUAUUAAAAAUAUUCAAUAACUUUUCUAAAUUUAUAUACUUUUAAUUAUUACAGUGUUAUGUACCCUCCCGAAUUUCAUAUGUCAUUUUGAUGACAGUGGUUCGGUCAUGGGACGUCACAUCAUCCGAAGGGUAAAACUAUAAGCUACCGUUUGGUUCGGGGUUAAGGAAAAACUAGUUAUUUCAAUGAUAGUGUUAAGUUUAGGGUUAAGAUAGGGUUAGAGUAUUUUUGUGUUUGGUUGGGGGUGGGAGUGGGAGUGGGGGUUGGAAUUAGUCGAGGAUUAAGAAAAAUAGUGUUUAGUUGGAGUAGGUGGGAUAAGAAGGAUAGUGUGUUAUUAUGAAUAGAAAAUAGUGUUUGGUUGGGAUUUGGUGGGAUUAGGUGAGGUUAGCUAACCUACCCUAAAUGGGCUAUCCCGGAAUAGUGUUUAGUUGGAGUAUGUAUAUGAACUUUUCAAGGUUGAAUUGCAAAUAAAGAGGUGAAAUUAAAUU